rnacentral:rRNA from 1 species
AAUAGAUACCCGGGUAGUCCACGCCGUAAACGAUGAAUACUAGGUGUAGGGGUUGUCAUGACCUCUGCGCCGCCGCAAACGCAUUAAGUAUUCCGCCUGGGGAGUACGAUCGCAAGAUUAAAACUCAAAGGAAUUGACGGGGGCCCGCACAAGCAGCGGAGCAUGUGGUUUAAUUCGAAGCAACGCGAAGAACCUUACCUAGACUUGACAUCUCCUGAAUUACUCUUAAUCGAGGAAGUCCCUUCGGGGACAGGAAGACAGGUGGUGCAUGGUUGUCGUCAGCUCGUGUCGUGAGAUGUUGGGUUAAGUCCCGCAACGAGCGCAACCCUUAUUGUUAGUUGCUACCAUUAAGUUGAGCACUCUAGCAAGACUGCCCGGGUUAACCGGGAGGAAGGUGGGGAUGACGUCAAAUCAUCAUGCCCCUUAUGUCUAGGGCUACACACGUGCUACAAUGGCAAGUACAAAAGAUGCAAUACCGCAAGGUGGAGCUAAACUUAAAAACUUGUCUCAGUUCGGAUUGUAGGCUGAAACUCGCCUACA